GAUAAGCCUUAAAUGGAUCCUGGAUAGGCAACUAAACCAUGGAUGUCUUUCCAGAACAAUCAAAAGAGCUUCAUUCAGAAGAACGUAGGGUUACAUUUUCAGAAAAACAAAAUGUCCCAAAUCAUGACUGUAUUGGAGGAAAGUAACAGAGUAUGACAUUGGUUAGACUUGUGAAUAGCAUAUAAUUUUCCUGUUUAGCAAGUUGUCAAC
rnacentral:lncRNA from 1 species